UACGGGGGGGGUAAGCGUUGUUCGGAAUUACUGGGCGUAAAGGGCUCGUAGGCGGCCAACUAAGUCAGACGUGAAAUCCCUCAGCUUAACUGGGGAACUGCGUCUGAUACUGGAUGGCUUGGAUUCGGGAGAGGAAUGCGGAAUUCCAGGUGUAGCGGUGAAAUGCGUAGAUAUCUGGAGGAACACCGGUGGCGAAGGCGACUUCCUGGCCUGUUCUUGACGCUGAGGCGCGAAAGCUAGGGGAGCAAACGGG
rnacentral:rRNA from 1 species